rnacentral:lncRNA from 1 species
CAUAAAGUAAAAAUUGGUAGAACAAAAGCAUAUGAAUGAAGUUGGAGGGUGGGAGAAAUUUUUUAAUUUUAUACUUCUUAUGGUAUAAAUUUUAAUACCAAAUGCAUGUUCUUUUUUAUCCACUUUUUUAUGGGUGCGUUGUAGUCAUGCAUAAUGGUGGGAUUUGCUGUCACAUAUUCAUACACACACACACUGUAACCGUAUCAUUUGACACUAUCACUCCCCAGCACUUCCUGCUCCCUCCCCACCUUGCAGCCCUUGGUCUCUUUCCUCUCCUGAUUUUCAUGAGAUCCCUGCCCCCACAUCUUCUUUUUUCUUUUUCCUCUCUAGCUUCCUUGUAUGAGAAGUAACAGAUGAUUUUUGACUUUCUGAGUUUGACUUGUUUCACUUAACAUGAUGGGUCUCUAGCUCCAUCCAUUUUCCUGCAAAUGACACCAUUUCAUUUUUCUUUAUGGCUGAGUGAAACUCCGUUGUGUAUAUAUACC